UACGUAGGGUGCAAGCGUUGUCCGGAAUUAUUGGGCGUAAAGAGCUCGUAGGCGGUUUGUUGCGUCGGCUGUGAAAUCCCGAGGCUCAACCUCGGGUCUGCAGUCGAUACGAGCAAACUAGAGUGUUGCAGGGGAGACUGGAAUUCCUGGUGUAGCGGUGAAAUGCGCAGAUAUCAGGAGGAACACCGGUGGCGAAGGCGGGUCUCUGGGCAAACAACUGACGCUGGAGGAGCGAAAGCGUCGGGGAGCGAACAGG
rnacentral:rRNA from 1 species